UCCCUGGCAGUCUAGUGGUUAAGACUUAGCACCCCCAAUGCAAAGGGCAUGGGUUCAAUCCCUAGUCAAGGAA
rfam:Ovis aries breed Texel chromosome 3, whole genome shotgun sequence.